AUGAAGUCGGAAUUGCUGUAAUGGCAGGUCAGCAUACUGCCGUGAAUACGUUCCCGGGCCUUGUACACACCGCCCGUCACACCAUGAGAGUUGGGAAUACCCGAAGCCUGUGAGCCAACAAACGAGGCAGCAGUCGAAGGUAGAAUCAAUGAUUGGGGUGAAGUCGUAACAAGGUAUC
rnacentral:rRNA from 1 species